rnacentral:lncRNA from 1 species
UUAGAAGCAAGAUGGAGUCGGUUAGGUCAGACCUCUUUCACUGUCUCAGUUAUAAUUUUGCAAUGGCAGUUUCAGUUGUUGAUCUGGCAGAUGUUUUCUUUUCCCAUCUGGAAAGAGGAUCAAAGCAGAGGACAUUUAUGCAGAAAAGAUAGCAAAAUAUAUUCCAUGCUGCAAGGUUAUGUUAACUCUUCAGGUUUUUGUCACAGUAUAGUAGGAAGGAACUUUGUGUAUCUUAACAUUCCACAGAGCAUCAUAGUAUUUAUUAUAUUGAUGACAUCAUGUUAAUUGUGUUGGUGCAAGGAAGUGGGAAGUAUUCUGGAUACCUUGGCAAGACCCAUGGGUCUUGCGUCAUAGCCUGAGAGAUAAAUCCUACAAUGAUUUAGGGGUCUGCCAUACUUAUGAAGAUUUUAGGGACUCAAUGGUUUGGGCUAUGCAGGGAUAUCCCCUUUAAGAUGCCAAGAACCUGGACAUCCUCCACCAGAACAAUCUCACAACAUGUCAAGUUUCCAGAGAUUGCUACUGCCUUCUUAAGCAGAUUUUCAAUGACCUAAGUUCCACUGGAAGUAGACCUAACAUAACUAGGAUGAACAGGAAACCUCUGAAUGUGAAAGUGAACACUAUUAAUACUUACAUGAAGGCAACAGGCAUGAACUGGAACAACCUUGGCCAUGCUGGGACGUAUGUUCACCCUAAGCAAAGAUCAGGAAUUCAGGCAGGGCUUGGCUGAGUGACUUCUCUGUUCCACAUGGCAUUGACACGGUACGUUUCAGCUGGUGGCUGGCCUGGUCUGGUGGGUCCAAGGUAGCUUUGUUCACAUGCCUGCUGUCUUGGUGAGGUGGCCAGAAGUUUGGGCUGAGCUAGUUCUUUCUCUCUUUUUCUGCAGUCUCAGGGCCUCUCCAUGUGUUUUCUCGAGCAAUGUGUUUGGUCUUCUGGAAUUAUGAUUCAUGGAUUCAAGAGACCACGGUAGAAGCUUCUAAUCCUCUUAAAAAGCAAGACUGAUCAUGGGAAACUGUCCUGUCCACUAGUACAUUAUUUGACAACCAUAAGACCAAAGGACUCCUUGGACACCUAGUCAGGAGGGUGGUGAGUUGAACUGAGCAAGCUUGAGCAUCUCAAACUGAAGUGGACACUUGCGCUUUAUACAGAGUAAGGCCCAAAUUGAAUUAACCUGGAGUGAGUCUGCAACAAGCCUAGCGUCUGCAUUUCUAUAACUGAUCUCAGCUAACACUGGAGCUACUUAAAUUCCCAAUGAUUUUAGAAAACUAUUUUUUUUAAAGUGUGUGAUUUGAAGGUAAAUGAACCUAUUCCAAUUUAACUGCUUUAUUUUUGUGGUUGCAUAUAUAAUCAUAUUUAAGCAAUUUAAAAUCCAAACUCCCUUUUGGAGCUGUUUUAUUUUCUGAAGGGUCUUCCUUCCUUUUUCUUAUGCCCAAGAUGGUGUCUGGGUGCAGAAGGAAGCUUAUUUACCUUCCGGCUUUGGGGAAGGGCUCCUUACCCAAGUGAUGUGGUUCUCUCGUUUCCCUGUUGAUCACCAGCUGAGAUAUGUACUCACCUCACUUGACUUCUAUCCUCACUGUGUCUGCUGAUAAAAUGUCAGUUUUGUCCUCCAUUAGCUUUCUGGCCUGCCUGUGUAACCCAAGGCCUUCAGUGUCAUCUCACCUCUCUCUGUAGUGACCCAAAGGCAAGUUCAUAGAUUCCUGACUCUUGGCUAGCUUCUAUGACUUUUUCUAGGAACAAGUAGGAGCUUCUGGCUCUUUUCUAUACUGCAAGGGAAAGUGUAGUAAACUUGAGGAUGGCUAAUACAGUCCCCUCUAACAACUCAUGCUUCUUUCUCCUCCACUGCAAACACACAUGCUGGUUUAGGCCAGCAGGCACUAUGUGUGGUGUGGUGGUCUGCCCUCUGUCCCAGACAGGAAUUGCAGUGCCUGAGGGCCUUUUUCCACCCAGGGCACAACUCGCCAGUUUGAAGUUUCUAGCUUAUCUAUCUUCUCUGCCUCAUUUCUGGCUCCACAUUCAACCCCUCCACUGGCUAAAUCUUAGGGGUCCAGAGUGGGACCACUGAGAUCCUAAAGAAUCCAGGCAGGGCGUGCACUUUGCUCCCUGCUAAGCUCUCCUGCUGCUCAGGAGGGGUGUGUGCCCUCUCCUCAAUCUGGUAGAUACUUCUUUCAUCAUUGGUUUUGAAAUCCUCCACUGAUGACUUUGUUGUUCUGGGUGUUUCCUCUGUCCUCUCCUCUCAUAUCUUAAUGGUGGAUAGGGUUUUAGGGAUUAAAAAAUCUCUGGAUUACUGAAAGGAAAAAUGUUUAGAGAGGCAUUUAAGAUGAUUUUUCUUAUUAUCACUUUUAAACCCACACUGAAGGUCUAGGUCCUAUACCUGUUCUGUUGGAAUCUUGGCCAAUCUCACAGUUUUUCUGGUCAUUCUUAGAAUAGUUAUAAUGGCCUUUGUUUAAAAAACAAUUUCAUAUGAAAACUAAAAUAUGCAGGUCAGCAUAAUAAUCAAACCCUUAUACUCUUACCUAAAUGUCAUUACGUAGGUUUCCCCCAAACAUCACCUCCUCAGGGAGGCUUUCUCUGACCAUUAAAUGUAGCCUCAUGGAAGUUCUAGGCAACCUUUGCCAUUUCCUGUUGUAACACCUUGAUUUAGUUCACUUAACAUAUACAUAUUGGGGGCUUACUACGUGGCAUCCAGAAUUAUUCUAGGCACUAGGAAUAUCACAAUAAAUAAGACAGAGCCGGUCCUUUACCUAGUGGAAGGACACAAGCACUAGACAAACAAUUAAAUGAGCAAGAAAAAUAUCAUUUAGCAGCAUGUGCUAUGCAGAUAAUUUUGUUUUUUGAGACAGAGUCUCACUGUGUCACCCAGGCUGGAGUGCAG